AUUGAACGCUGGCGGCAGGCCUAACACAUGCAAGUCGAGCGGAGCUGCGGACGGGUGAGUAAUGCCUAGGAAUCUGCCUGGUCGUGGGGGAUAACGUCCGGAAACGGGCGCUAAUACCGCAUACUAUCAGAUGAGCCUAGGUCGGAUUAGCUAGUUGGUGUGUGAAAGGCUCACCUAGGCGACGAUCCCUAGCUGGUCGGAGAGGAUGAACAGCCACACUGGAACUGAGACACGUUCCAGACUCCUACGGGAGGAAGCAGUGGGGAAGAUUGCACAAUGGGAGCAAGCCUGAUGCAGCCAUGCCGCGUGUAUGAAGAAGGCAUGCGGGUUGUAAAGUACUUUCAGCGGGGAGGCGUUACCCGCAGAAGAAGCACCGGCUAACUCCGUGCCAGCAGCCGCGGUAAUAC
rnacentral:rRNA from 1 species